GGAGGAGUGGCCGAGUGGUCCAAGGCAGCGGUUUGCUAAACCGUCCCCGAUGAAAAAUCGGGGCGUGGGUUCGAAUCCCACCUCCUCCGCCA
rnacentral:tRNA from 1 species